AUUGAACGCUGGCGGCAGGCUUAACACAUGCAAGUCGAGCGGAGAUGAGGUGCUUGCACCUUAUCUUAGCGGCGGACGGGUGAGUAAUGCUUAGGAAUCUGCCUAUUGGUGGGGGACAACAUUCCGAAAGGAAUGCUAAUACCGCAUACGCCCUACGGGGGAAAGCAGGGGAUCUUCGGACCUUGCGCUAAUAGAUGAGCCUAAGUCGGAUUAGCUAGUUGGUGGGGUAAAGGCCUACCAAGGCGACGAUCUGUAGCGGGUCUGAGAGGGUGAUCCGCCACACUGGGACUGAGACACGGCCCAGACUCCUACGGGAGGCAGCAGUGGGGAAUAUUGGACAAUGGGCGGAAGCCUGAUCCAGCCAUGCCGCGUGUGUGAAGAAGGCCUUUUGGUUGUAAAGCACUUUAAGCGAGGAGGAGGCUACCUGGAUUAAUACUCUAGGAUAGUGGACGCUACUCGCAGAAUAAGCACCGGCUAACUCUGUGCCAGCCGCCGCCGUAACAC
rnacentral:rRNA from 1 species